GACGAACGCUGGCGGCGUGCUUAACACAUGCAAGUCGAGCGGAAAGGCCACUUCGGUGGUACUCGAGCGGCGAACGGGUGAGUAACACGUGAGUAAUCUGCCCUCCACUUUGGGAUAAGCCCCGGAAACGGGGUCUAAUACCGGAUAUGACCCAGCCACGCAUGUGGGUGGGUGGAAAGUUUUUUCGGUGGGGGAUGUGCUCGCGGCCUAUCAGCUUGUUGGUGGGGUAAUGGCCUACCAAGGCUUCGACGGGUAGCCGGCCUGAGAGGGUGACCGGCCACACUGGGACUGAGACACGGCCCAGACUCCUACGGGAGGCAGCAGUGGGGAAUAUUGGACAAUGGGCGGAAGCCUGAUCCAGCAACGCCGCGUGAGGGAUGACGGCCUUCGGGUUGUAAACCUCUUUCAGCGGGGACGAAGCGCCGAUGAUGGUGGUGACGGUACCCGCAGAAGAAGCACCGGCCAACUACGUGCCAGCAGCCGCCGUAACAC
rnacentral:rRNA from 1 species